rnacentral:rRNA from 1 species
AGAGUUUGAUCCUGGCUCAGGACGAACGCUGGCGGCGCGCCUAACACAUGCAAGUCGAACGGAGCUUAGAGAGCUUGCUUUUUAAGCUUAGUGGCGAACGGGUGAGUAACGCGUGAGUAACCUGCCCUAGAGUGGGGGACAACAGUUGGAAACGACUGCUAAUACCGCAUAAGCCCACGGUGCCGCAUGGUACUGAGGGAAAAGGAUUUAUUCGCUUUAGGAUGGACUCGCGUCCAAUUAGCUAGUUGGUGAGGUAACGGCCCACCAAGGCGACGAUUGGUAGCCGGACUGAGAGGUUGAACGGCCACAUUGGGACUGAGACACGGCCCAGACUCCUACGGGAGGCAGCAGUGGGGGAUAUUGCACAAUGGGGGAAACCCUGAUGCAGCGACGCCGCGUGGAGGAAGAAGGUUUUCGGAUUGUAAACUCCUGUCGUUAGGGACGAUAAUGACGGUACCUAACAAGAAAGCACCGGCUAACUACGUGCCAGCAGCCGCGGUAAAACGUAGGGUGCAAGCGUUGUCCGGAAUUACUGGGUGUAAAGGGAGCGCAGGCGGGAAGACAAGUUGGAAGUGAAAUCCAUGGGCUCAACCCAUGAACUGCUUUCAAAACUGUUUUUCUUGAGUAGUGCAGAGGUAGGCGGAAUUCCCGGUGUAGCGGUGGAAUGCGUAGAUAUCGGGAGGAACACCAGUGGCGAAGGCGGUCUACUGGGCACCAACUGACGCUGAGGCUCGAAAGCAUGGGUAGCAAACAGGAUUAGAUACCCUGGUAGUCCAUGCCGUAAACGAUGAUUACUAGGUGUUGGGGGAUUGACCCCCUCAGUGCCGCAGUUAACACAAUAAGUAAUCCACCUGGGGAGUACGACCGCAAGGUUGAAACUCAAAGGAAUUGACGGGGGCCCGCACAAGCAGUGGAGUAUGUGGUUUAAUUCGAAGCAACGCGAAGAACCUUACCAGGUCUUGACAUCCGAUGCAUAGCACAGAGAUGUGUGAAAUCCUUCGGGACAUCGAGACAGGUGGUGCAUGGUUGUCGUCAGCUCGUGUCGUGAGAUGUUGGGUUAAGU